rnacentral:rRNA from 1 species
CGGUAAUACGGAGGAUCCAAGCGUUAUCCGGAUUUAUUGGGUUUAAAGGGUGCGUAGGUGGCUUUUUAAGUCAGGGGUGAAAGACGGUAGCUUAACUAUCGCAGUGCCUUUGAUACUGAAGAGCUUGAAUGAACUAGAGGUAGGCGGAAUGUGACAAGUAGCGGUGAAAUGCAUAGAUAUGUCACAGAACACCAAUUGCGAAGGCAGCUUACUAUGGUUAGAUUGACACUGAGGCACGAAAGCGUGGGGAUCAAACAGGAUUAGAUACCCUGGUAGUCCACGCCCUAAACGAUGAAUACUCGAUGUUGGCGAUAUACGGUCAGCGUCUAAGCG